rnacentral:lncRNA from 7 species
AACGAACGCAUGUCGCCCUAGGGCCUAUAAGUAUUCGGGCACCAUGACCCUCGCAAGCCAUCAAUCCAUAGAUCGUCUUCUCUGUUGCCCCCACCGUGUAACCAUCGCCGAGAGAGGUGAUGGCCUACCACCGUUGAACGCACAUCACACCAUUGCUUGGGGUCGAGCGCAUGGUCAAGGAGGUUCGCCAGAAAGUGUAGGUGGUGUGUGGGUUGGUCGUGGAGCGCAGGAGGCUUCGAUGGCCCCGUAAUUUCUCAUCGUCGACCCUACUCCGUCGUGGACCACUGCGUUGCGUGGGCAGCCGUCCCCAAGUAUCUAACCACAAGUAAGUCACCCCCUCCGAUUCAUUGGUACCUCGGGUUCAUAUAGGGUCAUCGGGAGUAGGGAUUGGAAAAACGGUGCACCUGGACGGGUGUCUCCGGUGAGAGAACUGCCAUCAGAGGCGGUGGCAUGCCGUCCCUAGCAGUCGUAGGGGAAGGAGCGCCCGUGACCGGUGAUCCGGUAAUCAACGGUUCAAAUUAGAAGAAUCCACACUUGUUCGCUUAUUUAUAUCUGCACCGUGAGUUCGGAUCAAAGGCAGAUUUGGAUCAUGGCAUGGCAAGCUGUGGGUCGUUGAUCAUAGAUCUUGCAGUCAUCGAUGGAUACCAGUUAGAUAAAAAGGGCUAUCUAAUCUACGCCACAGAUAGUUGAUCCAACAGCUCGAGAUGCCUGAUACCCCUUCGCUUAGCCCUUUUAUUAAAGAGACCCUAGGCAUUUUGAAAAUGAACCCGCAAUUCUAACUAGUUUAAGUUUUCUCGCAGAUAGGUCCUAAUUCUCUCAAAAC